rnacentral:piRNA from 1 species
GGAGAUUGCCAUAGGAUGUUGCUAGUCUG